rnacentral:rRNA from 1 species
AACGAACGCUGGCGGCAGGCCUAACACAUGCAAGUCGAGCGAGGACACCGGUUCUAUCCGCUUAUGAGGGUGUAGCGCGUCGGAAGGGUACCUUCUCUACGGAAUAGCCCUUGGAAACGGGGAAUAAUAGCGUAUAGGCCCUAUUAGUGGAAGAUAUAUCGGAGAGGGAUGAGCAGGCGUUGGAUAAGGUAUUUGUGUCGGUAAUGGCCUACCAAGCCGACGAUCCAUAGCUGGGUAGAGAGGAUGAUCAGCGACACUGGGAGGGAGACACGGCCCGGACUCCUACGGGAGGCAGCAGUGGGGAAUCUUAGACAAUCGGGGGAACCCUGAAGUACCUCUGCCGGGUGAAUGAUGAAGGUAUGAGGGUAGAAAAGCUCUUUCAGCUGGGCACAUAAUGACGGUACCAGAAGAAGAAGCCACGGCUAACUCCGUG